ACGGGGGGUGCUAGCGUUGUUCGGAAUCAUUGGGCGUAAAGAGCGUGUAGGCGGCUGGAUAAGUCAGAUGUGAAAGCCCUGGGCUUAACCCAGGAAGUGCAUUUGAAACUGUUCAGCUUGAGUAAGGGAGAGGAAAGUGGAAUUCCUGGUGUAGAGGUGAAAUUCGUAGAUAUCAGGAGGAACACCGGUGGCGAAGGCGACUUGCUGGCCAGCAACUGACGCUGAGGCGCGAAAGCCAGGGGAGCAAACGG
rnacentral:rRNA from 1 species